rnacentral:rRNA from 1 species
AGAGUUUGAUCAUGGCUCAGGACGAACGCUGGCGGCGUGCCUAAUACAUGCAAGUAGAACGCUGAAGAGAGGAGCUUGCUCUUCUUGGAUGAGUUGCGAACGGGUGAGUAACGCGUAGGUAACCUGCCUUGUAGCGGGGGAUAACUAUUGGAAACGAUAGCUAAUACCGCAUAACAAUAGGUGACACAUGUCAUUUAUUUGAAAGGGGCAAUUGCUCCACUACAAGAUGGACCUGCGUUGUAUUAGCUAGUAGGUGAGGUAACGGCUCACCUAGGCGACGAUACAUAGCCGACCUGAGAGGGUGAUCGGCCACACUGGGACUGAGACACGGCCCAGACUCCUACGGGAGGCAGCAGUAGGGAAUCUUCGGCAAUGGGGGCAACCCUGACCGAGCAACGCCGCGUGAGUGAAGAAGGUUUUCGGAUCGUAAAGCUCUGUUGUAAGUCAAGAACGAGUGUGAGAGUGGAAAGUUCACACUGUGACGGUAGCUUACCAGAAAGGGACGGCUAACUACGUGCCAGCAGCCGCGGUAAUACGUAGGUCCCGAGCGUUGUCCGGAUUUAUUGGGCGUAAAGCGAGCGCAGGCGGUUUGAUAAGUCUGAAGUUAAAGGCUGUGGCUCAACCAUAGUUCGCUUUGGAAACUGUCAAACUUGAGUGCAGAAGGGGAGAGUGGAAUUCCAUGUGUAGCGGUGAAAUGCGUAGAUAUAUGGAGGAACACCGGUGGCGAAAGCGGCUCUCUGGUCUGUAACUGACGCUGAGGCUCGAAAGCGUGGGGAGCGAACAGGAUUAGAUACCCUGGUAGUCCACGCCGUAAACGAUGAGUGCUAGGUGUUGGAUCCUUUCCGGGAUUCAGUGCCGCAGCUAACGCAUUAAGCACUCCGCCUGGGGAGUACGACCGCAAGGUUGAAACUCAAAGGAAUUGACGGGGGCCCGCACAAGCGGUGGAGCAUGUGGUUUAAUUCGAAGCAACGCGAAGAACCUUACCAGGUCUUGACAUCCCGAUGCUAUUUCUAGAGAUAGAAAGUUACUUCGGUACAUCGGUGACAGGUGGUGCAUGGUUGUCGUCAGCUCGUGUCGUGAGAUGUUGGGUUAAGUCCCGCAACGAGCGCAACCCCUAUUGUUAGUUGCCAUCAUUCAGUUGGGCACUCUAGCGAGACUGCCGGUAAUAAACCGGAGGAAGGUGGGGAUGACGUCAAAUCAUCAUGCCCCUUAUGACCUGGGCUACACACGUGCUACAAUGGUUGGUACAACGAGUUGCGAGUCGGUGACGGCAAGCUAAUCUCUUAAAGCCAAUCUCAGUUCGGAUUGUAGGCUGCAACUCGCCUACAUGAAGUCGGAAUCGCUAGUAAUCGCGGAUCAGCACGCCGCGGUGAAUACGUUCCCGGGCCUUGACACACCGCCCGUC